AUGUCCCCCCUUAGUCGAGGCAAAUGGCGUUCUGCUGUUAUCUUGUUCCGCCCUGUAAUGAAGGUCCUCCAAUGGCAGGCCCCCUGUUGUGCGCGCUGUGAUCUCAUUUUCUCAGCAGAGGCGCGAGCUGCCAGCCUCCGUCUGAUCCAGCUGGCGGGAGAGGAAGGCAGGCGGAGGGGGGGGAGGCUGGACCGAGACAGGCCCGGCCGGCCCGCUGACCUCUGGGGGCCCGGUCUCCGCGGCUGGCAGGGGACCGGUGUGUUGACAGCAAAACAGGUCGGCCUGCAGAACGGAACAAGGACACACAUGCAUCAGGUAGCCCUGUACACCGAGCCUCUCUGGGAUUCCAACAGCACUGGCAUCAGGUGGCCCAGAAGCCUUAGUAAGUCCACCCUCCCUGACCAGAGUUGCAAGACAUGCAGCUGUAUUUUUUUGUAAUUGCUGUCAUCACCUUCCAUGUAUUGUGAACGGCCACUUUGCCCAGAGCAGCACCAACGGCUUCCUAUGUUCACAAGCCUUUGUCUGGGCUCGUCUGCUCUUGUGUGCACAUAUGUAUGCUGGUUUGUGGGGUUAUUUGGUUUAGAGGUCGAAAACAAUGCUGCUAAAUACUUAGGGUCCGUUCCUGAAACGGUGGUCAAAGAAUUUAUGCAUUUGGUUUCUUACUAUUAUCUUUUCUAUUGGGAAAUACUAGAGAAAAGUAUAGGAUGUUGAGUUCUGUGUUAGCAGGAACUAGCCACAGCAUUCGGAGCCUGCUUCACCGGGGUAAAACAGAGUGUUGCUGUCGGAUGCAAAGCAGUGCUCACUGGACACGUAAUAGGAUUGUCGGUUCUACAUUGUAUUUUCCUUUGGUCUUUUCCUCUAAAGUGAAUUAAGGCGUCUAUUUCAUCUCCUCACAGUGAAAUAAUGUAUCCAAAGGGUGCAUUCAAAGCCCAUUUAACCACUUGGUGCCGGAUUCAUAAUUGGAUUUUAACUUGAGGUCCCAUCUUAAAUCCAACCAUCACCAUCUACAAUAUUAGAUUUUUCAUUCAGGAAGCCUCUUUAAUUCUGCUCUGUUGAAAUGACAUGCUUUUUAAUCAGCCAAUGCACAAAAUAUCCGGCUGAACUGGUGUCAUUAAACAAACCAGCCUACACACACACAUGCACAUACACAUAGUGCGCUCUCACACACACACACGCACGCACACGCACACACACGCACUCGCGCGCACACACACGCAAACACACACAAUGCUAACGUAGCCUAUUAAAGAGAUGGAAGAUUAUGGCUUGAAUGAAGUCAUUAGUUACGCAAACCUAAUGAUCAUCUUAUUUGUAUGAAUAAAUCUGAUCCAUUUUGCUUGCUUCAGGCUAAAAUAAAGAAUAAUAAAAUAAUUAAAAGCCCUGGCCCUUUAUGCAUUGAUUUAUUUUCUGAAACGAUUCCGGACGCAUCAAAAAAACAAUAACAACAAAAAACAACAACUCCAGGGCCCCCUAUAAUGAGAGGGAGCAAGAGACACGCAGGGCUGCGAGCGAUUGCAUUCAUCCCCCC
rnacentral:lncRNA from 1 species